rnacentral:rRNA from 1 species
CCUACGGGCGGCAGCAGUGAGGAAUAUUGGUCAAUGGACGAGAGUCUGAACCAGCCAAGUAGCGUGAAGGAUGACUGCCCUAUGGGUUGUAAACUUCUUUUAUAUGGGAAUAAAACGUUCCACGUGUGGGAUUUUGUAUGUAACAUAUGAAUAAGGAUCGGCUAACUCCGUGCCAGCAGCCGCGGUAAUACGGAGGAUCCGAGCGUUAUCCGGAUUUAUUGGGUUUAAAGGGAGCGUAGGUGGAUUGUUAAGUCAGUUGUGAAAGUUUGUGGCUCAACCGUAAAAUUGCAGUUGAAACUGGCAGUCUUGAGUACAGUAGAGGUGGGCGGAAUUCGUGGUGUAGCGGUGAAAUGCUUAGAUAUCGCGAAGAACUCCGAUUGCGAAGGCAGUUCACUGGACUGCAACUGACACUGAGGCUCGAAAGUGUGGGUAUCAAACAGGAUUAGAUACCCUAGUAGUC